rnacentral:rRNA from 1 species
GACGGAGGAUGCAAGUGUUAUCCGGAAUCACUGGGCGUAAAGCGUCUGUAGGUGGUUCGAAAAGUCCACUGUUAAAAAUUGAGGCUUAACUUCAAAGAUGCCGUGGAAACUUUCAAACUAGAGUAUGGUAGGGGUAGAGGGAAUUUCCAGUGGAGCGGUGAAAUGCGUAGAUAUUGGAAAGACCACCGAUGGCGAAAGCACUCUACUG